AUUAAUAUUAUUGAAGGUUUUAAUUUCUUCCAUGUCCUUCUUAAUGCCAAAAAUCUGUUAAUUAGCGAUGUUACUUUUUCUUCGGGUUCGCUUAGUGAAGGCCCAGGGGAAGGGGUAGAUCUAUGUAACUGUUUGAAUUUGCGUCUCCUAUGAGAAAUUUGUGGUCUGUAUUGUGAAAUCAAUUGCGUCUCUGGAGUUGUUUACUUGAGCUUUUUGCCUGUUCAUUGUGAAAUAUGGGAAUCUGUAAUUACGAUUGUGAAAUAUUUUAAGAUUCAGAUUUGAAUGUCGAUUAAUUGGCAGCCUGCACUGACCUUGGUACAUCUUUUUACUGCCGUGAACUUUAGUUUAUGAACAAGUUUGAAUUCUUUAGGCUGCGAAGCUCAUCUACAGUUCUAUUGGGGAUGAAACAGAAACAAGUGUUGCUUUCCAUUAUUGCCUUCCAAGGUUCAAGAUAUCUCUUGUGUUGAUUAGACCAAGAGACCCCACUUACCUUCCUUAAACCUUCAAGUUCAAUAGCCACUUCCUUCAUUGUAGGCCUAUCUUCUCCAUGC
rnacentral:lncRNA from 1 species